GUACACGGUGGAUGCCUUGGCAGUCAGAGGCGAUGAAAGACGUAGUAACUUGCGAUAAGCCCAGAUUAGGUAGUAACAACCAUUUGAGUCUGGGAUUUCUGAAUGGGGAAACCCACGUGCAUAAGCACGUAUCCUUACCUGAAUACAUAGGGUAAGGAGGCGAACCGGGGRAACUGAAACAUCUAAGUACCCCGAGGAAAAGAAAUCAACCGAGAUUCCGAAAGUAGCGGCGAGCGAAAUUGGACUAGCCCUUAAGCUUUACACGCGUUAGACGAACGGUCUGGAAAGUCCGRCGAUACAGGGUGAUAGYCCCGUAGUUGACGACGUGUGUUCAGUGAAAUCGAGUAGGGCGGGACACGUGAUAUCCUGUCUGAAUAUGGGGGGACCAUCCUCCAAGGCUAAAUACUACUGACUGACCGAUAGUGAACCAGUACCGUGAGGGAAAGGCGAAAAGAACCCCUGUGAGGGGAGUGAAAUAGAACCUGAAACCGUGUACGUACAAGCAGUAGGAGCAGGCUUUGUCCUGUGACUGCGUACCUUUUGUAUAAUGGGUCAGCGACUUAUAUUCAGUGGCAAGGUUAACCAUCUAGGGGAGCCGUAGGGAAACCGAGUCUUAACUGGGCGUUCAGUCUCUGGAUAUAGACCCGAAACCAGGUGAUCUAGCCAUGGGCAGGUUGAAGGUUGAGUAACAUCAACUGGAGGACCGAACCGACA
rnacentral:rRNA from 1 species